rnacentral:rRNA from 1 species
CCUACGGGAGGCAGCAGUGAGGAAUAUUGGUCAAUGGACGAAAGUCUGAACCAGCCAUGCCGCGUGAAGGAUGACGGCCCUACGGGUUGUAAACUUCUUUUGUAUAGGAAGAAACCCCCCUACGUGUAGGGGGCUGACGGUACUAUACGAAUAAGCACCGGCUAACUCCGUGCCAGCAGCCGCGGUAAUACGGAGGGUGCAAGCGUUAUCCGGAAUUAUUGGGUUUAAAGGGUGCGUAGGCGGAAAUUUAAGUCAGUGGUGAAAGCCUGCAGCUCAACUGUAGAAUUGCCAUUGAUACUGAAUUUCUUGAAUCUAAUUGAAGUGGGCGGAAUAUGACAUGUAGCGGUGAAAUGCUUAGAUAUGUCAUAGAACACCGAUAGCGAAGGCAGCUCACUAAGUUAGUAUUGACGCUCAUGCACGAAAGCGUGGGGAGCGAACAG